AGCAUAGUGAAACACAACAAAGGAAUUUGUCAACAAAAAGAAAGGUAACCUACUGAAUGGGAGAAUACAUUUGCGAGAAGAUUUUGUCAUAACAGCCUGACCUGGAAGAUGUCCUAAAGCAAACCUCUAAAACGAGGAAUAGCUAGUGAUUCAAACUGAAUCCAGAGAACACUUCACAUAUUUUUCUCUGGGGGCCAGUUCUUUCCCACACAUCAUUCACGGUUGCAUUGAGUUGAGUCAACCACACCCCCCGUGCCCUCUGCAAUCCAGCGAGUGUCAGUGCUGACCGUGGGUGCUGUUAUUCCCCUGCUCAAUCAGCUAUACAUCCAUCUCCUCUUCCUUCUUCCCCCCUCCUCACUGUCAUCAAGAUAAGAAACUAUAAUCAAGGCGAUGAGAAGUUCUAAAGUUCCCACCACACCAUCUACUCAUCAGCCUGAAUCUGGGUUUAUUUUCUCUACUUUGCCUCCCAUUAUUAUGGAAAAAAUACCUAUGUGUAUAUCUAACAUCAGCUCUUCUGUUUGUGUCUUGGAACCCAUGACUCCAGCAAUUCUCUUCUUUCUACCCCUUGACUCAAAUUUUCUUCCUUUUUUUUAACUUAGAUCAUUCCCAUCACUGCACCAAAUUCUAUACUAUCCUCCAUAUUAAAAACUAAAUGGGGACUUUUCCUGGUCAUCCAGUGGUUAAGCCUCCACACUUCCAAU